GACGUGCUAAUCUGCGAUAAGCGUCGGUAAGGUGAUAUGAACCGUUAUAACCGGCGAUUUCCGAAUGGGGAAACCCAGUGUGUUUCGACACACUAUCAUUAACUGAAUCCAUAGGUUAAUGAGGCGAACCGGGGGAACUGAAACAUCUAAGUACCCCGAGGAAAAGAAAUCAACCGAGAUUCCCCCAGUAGCGGCGAGCGAACGGGGAGCAGCCCAGAGCCUGAAUCAGUGUGUGUGUUAGUGGAAGCGUCUGGAAAGGCGCGCGAUACAGGGUGACAGCCCCGUACACAAAAAUGCACAUGCUGUGAGCUCGAUGAGUAGGGCGGGACACGUGGUAUCCUGUCUGAAUAUGGGGGGACCAUCCUCCAAGGCUAAAUACUCCUGACUGACCGAUAGUGAACCAGUACCGUGAGGGAAAGGCGAAAAGAACCCCGGCGAGGGGAGUGAAAAAGAACCUGAAACCGUGUACGUACAAGCAGUGGGAGCACGCUUAGGCGUGUGACUGCGUACCUUUUGUAUAAUGGGUCAGCGACUUAUAUUCUGUAGCAAGGUUAACCGAAUAGGGGAGCCGAAGGGAAACCGAGUCUUAACUGGGCGUUAAGUUGCAGGGUAUAGACCCGAAACCCGGUGAUCUAGCCAUGGGCAGGUUGAAGGUUGGGUAACACUAACUGGAGGACCGAACCGACUAAUGUUGAAAAAUUAGCGGAUGACUUGUGGCUGGGGGUGAAAGGCCAAUCAAACCGGGAGAUAGCUGGUUCUCCCCGAAAGCUAUUUAGGUAGCGCCUCGUGAAUUCAUCUCCGGGGGUAGAGCACUGUUUCGGCAAGGGGGUCAUCCCGACUUACCAACCCGAUGCAAACUGCGAAUACCGGAGAAUGUUAUCACGGGAGACACACGGCGGGUGCUAACGUCCGUCGUGAAGAGGGAAACAACCCAGACCGCCAGCUAAGGUCCCAAAGUCAUGGUUAAGUGGGAAACGAUGUGGGAAGGCCCAGACAGCCAGGAUGUUGGCUUAGAAGCAGCCAUCAUUUAAAGAAAGCGUAAUAGCUCACUGGUCGAGUCGGCCUGCGCGGAAGAUGUAACGGGGCUAAACCAUGCACCGAAGCUGCGGCAGCGACACUAUGUGUUGUUGGGUAGGGGAGCGUUCUGUAAGCCUGUGAAGGUGUGCUGUGAGGCAUGCUGGAGGUAUCAGAAGUGCGAAUGCUGACAUAAGUAACGAUAAAGCGGGUGAAAAGCCCGCUCGCCGGAAGACCAAGGGUUCCUGUCCAACGUUAAUCGGGGCAGGGUGAGUCGACCCCUAAGGCGAGGCCGAAAGGCGUAGUCGAUGGGAAACAGGUUAAUAUUCCUGUACUUGGUGUUACUGCGAAGGGGGGACGGAGAAGGCUAUGUUGGCCGGGCGACGGUUGUCCCGGUUUAAGCGUGUAGGCUGGUUUUCCAGGCAAAUCCGGAAAAUCAAGGCUGAGGCGUGAUGACGAGGCACUACGGUGCUGAAGCAACAAAUGCCCUGCUUCCAGGAAAAGCCUCUAAGCAUCAGGUAACAUCAAAUCGUACCCCAAACCGACACAGGUGGUCAGGUAGAGAAUACCAAGGCGCUUGAGAGAACUCGGGUGAAGGAACUAGGCAAAAUGGUGCCGUAACUUCGGGAGAA
rnacentral:rRNA from 1 species